CGGACGGGUGAGUAACACGUGGGCAACCUGCCUGUAAGACUGGGAUAACUCCGGGAAACCGGGGCUAAUACCGGAUAAUCAUGUGGAUCGCAUGAUCCACAUCUGAAAGAUGGCCUUUGCGCUAUCACUUACAGAUGGGCCCGCGGCGUAUUAGCUAGUUGGUGAGGUAAUGGCUCACCAAGGCAACGAUACGUAGCCGACCUGAGAGGGUGAUCGGCCACACUGGGACUGAGACACGGCCCAGACUCCUACGGGAGGCAGCAGUAGGGAAUCAUCCGCAAUGGACGAAAGUCUGACGGUGCAAUGCCGCGUGAGUGAGGAAGGCCUUCGGGUCGUAAAACUCUGUUGUUAGGGAAGAAUAGGUUCUGUUCGAAUAGGGCAGAGCUAUGACGGUACCUAACCAGAAAGCCACGGCUAACUACGUGCCAGCAGCCGCGGUAAUACGUAGGUGGCAAGCGUUGUCCGGAAUUAUUGGGCGUAAAGCGCGCGCAGGCGGUUUCUUAAGUCUGAUGUGAAAGCCCACGGCUCAACCGUGGAGGGUCAUUGGAAACUGGGGAACUUGAAUACAGGAGAGGAAAGUGGAAUUCCACGUGUAGCGGUGAAAUGCGUAGAGAUGUGGAGGAACACCAGUGGCGAAGGCGACUUUCUGGCCUGAUAUUGACGCUGAGGCGCGAAAGCGUGGGGAGCAAACAGGAUUAGAUACCCUGGUAGUCCACGCCGUAAACGAUGAGUGCUAGGUGUUAGGGGUUCCCACCCUUAGUGCUGUAGUUAACGCAAUAAGCACUCCGCCUGGGGAGUACGACCGCAAGGUUGAAACUCAAAGGAAUUGACGGGGGCCCGCACAAGCGGUGGAGCAUGUGGUUUAAUUCGACGCAACGCGAAGAACCUUACC
rnacentral:rRNA from 1 species